rnacentral:rRNA from 1 species
AUUGAACGCUGGCGGCAGGCCUAACACAUGCAAGUCGAACGAGUGGCGGACGGGUGAGUAAUGUCUGGGAAACUGCCUGAUGGAGGGGGAUAACUACUGGAAACGGUAGCUAAUACCGCAUACCAUCGGAUGUGCCCAGAUGGGAUUAGCUAGUAGGUGGGGGAAAGGCUCACAUAGGCGACGAUCCCUAGCUGGUCUGAGAGGAGGACACGCAACACUGGAACUGAGAAACGGGCCAGAAUCCGACGGGAGGCAGUAGUGGGGAAUAUUGCACAAUGGGCGCAAGCCUGAGGCAGCCAUGCCGCGUGUAUGAAGAAGGCCUUCGGGUUGUAAAGUACUUUCAGCGGGGAGGCGUUACCCGCAGAAGAAGCACCGGCUAACUCCGUGCCAGCAGCCGCGGUAAUUC